UGUAAUUUCUCAGAUCCCUUUAGGCCAGUCUUAAACAAUGACUUUCACCAGACUUGUGGAGGGGUGCUGUGUGACUGUAGUUCUGCCUGGCCCGAACAAAGUUCUUAUACUCUGUGAAGUGGAGGUUUAUUGGCAUUGUGCACCCACAGGACAGAAUUGGCUCUGAGUGGAAAAGCCACACAAUCCUCCGUCCAUGCAAAUGGCAUCCCAUAUAAUGCCAUAGAUGGAAAUCGUGCCAGCAGAUGGAACCAAGGGUCUUGUAUCCACACAGGUCCAGAUUUCAAUCCUUGGUGGAGACUUGAUCUGCGCAAAACACAUAAAGUUUUUUCUGUGAUCAUAACUAACAUUGUAGAUGCUCACUCUGCACGACUGAAUGGAGCCGAGAUCCGAAUUGGAGAUUCCCUUGAAAACAAUGGGAAUGACAACCCAAGGUGGCUGUGAUUUCAAGUAUCCCUGCAGGUUUUACCCAAAACUUCCAGUGUCCUGGGAUGGAUGGCCAUUAUGUUAAUGUAGUCAUUCCUGGGCGAGGUGAAUACCUACACAUAUGUGAAGUGGAGGUGUAUGGCUCCCCUCUGGAUUAAAUGUUCUUUUUUUUUCUUCUUUCUUUUCACAUUUACAGACUGUUAAUG